AACCAUUCUCACCUGCGGCUAGACCUGCGGAAGGAUCAUUACAAGUGACCCCGGUCUAACCACCGGGAUGUUCAUAACCCUUUGUUGUCCGACUCUGUUGCCUCCGGGGCGACCCUGCCUUCGGGCGGGGGCUCCGGGUGGACACUUCAAACUCUUGCGUAACUUUGCAGUCUGAGUAAACUUAAUUAAUAAAUUAAAACUUUCAGCAACGGAUCU
rnacentral:misc_RNA from 1 species